rnacentral:rRNA from 1 species
UACGGGGGGGCAAGCGUUGUUCGGAAUUACUGGGCGUAAAGGGUUUGUAGGUGGCUUGUUAAGUCAGACGUGAAAUCCCUCAGCUUAACUGGGAACUGCGUCUGAUACUGGCGAGCUUGAGUGCAGGAGAGGAACGCGGAAUUCCAGGUGUAGCGGUGAAAUGCGUAGAUAUUUGGAGGAACACCGGUGGCGAAGGCGGCGUCCUGGACCAACACUGACACUGAUGAGCGAAAGCCAGGGAGCAACGGGAGUUAGAAACCCGGUAGUACCC